rnacentral:rRNA from 1 species
AUUGAACGCUGGCGGCAGGCCUAACACAUGCAAGUCGAGCGGUAGAGAGGUGCUUGCACCUCUUGAGAGCGGCGGACGGGUGAGUAAUGUCUAGGAAUCUGCCUGGUAGUGGGGGAUAACGUCCGGAAACGGACGCUAAUACCGCAUACGUCCUACGGGAGAAAGCAGGGGACCUUCGGGCCUUGCGCUAUCAGAUGAGCCUAGGUCGGAUUAGCUCGUUGGUGAGGUAAUGGCUCACCAAGGCGACGAUCCGUAACUGGUCUGAGAGGAUGAUCAGUCACACUGGAACAGAGACACGGUCCAGACUCCUACGGGGGGCAGCAGUGAGGAGUAUUGGACAAUGGGCGAAAGCCUGAUCCAGCCAUGCCGCGUGUGUGAAGAAGGUCUUCGGAUUGUAAAGCACUUUAAGUUGGGAGGAAGGGUACUUACCGAAUACGUGAGUAUUUUGACGUUACCGACAGAAUACGCACCGGCUAACUCUGUGCCAGCCGCCGCGGUAACAC